rnacentral:lncRNA from 1 species
UUCUUUUUCUUUUGUUUUUCUGAAGUUUUUGCUUGAGUUUUCUUUUUCCAUGGCCUUGUGGUCUGGAAACUGAAGAAGAUGAACUCUUCUUUGCUUCCAAAGUGGCUUGUCAUUCCCAAAUCCUUCCCUAGACCCUGUCAUUUUCAUCCUAGCCCAACUCCCAAUAUUCUUUUUAUUGGGGAUAUUCCUUUUCUAUUAAAGGAAUAACUCAAAUUGCCCUAGGUUGUGAAGCAACCUUUAUUUCCAUCACUCCUAAAAUUCCCAAAUAACUCUCAUAAAUUGUUUGGGUCAUAUCUUUCUCAAAUAUAGAAAAAUACUUCAUUUGUCAUGUUUAUCAUCAUGCUCAAAUAAUUCAUUUCCUAUUCUGCCCUAAAUGGCACAUUGUGAAGCAAGUGCUAUUUUACUUUUCCCAAUUAACCUCAAACUCCUUGGACACCUUUUACUGUCCAUAUAAUUGCCACAUGCCAAAGUGCAACCUCACUUGCCUAGUAAAUAUUCCUGAGCAAUUUUUCAAAGUUCCUGUCUGAGGGAACUGGUUGUCAAGGAAGUACAAGCUAGGCAUAUCCAAAUGAGUUGCAAUUUUGCAUGAUCCCUCAUAUCAUCAUAUCAUAGCUCUGCACCAAAUUAGAGCUCAUGUCAUGCCUCCAUGUGAGCUCAUCUUCAAUUCUUCGAUUCUGUCCAAAAUUUCAGUUUGUGAAGCAAGUAUAUGUUAUCUUGCUCCAUUAUGGCUGCCAAUUUUUCUAGGCCUUCUGUUAUCCAUAUAACUUACCUCCACCCAUUUUGGGCAUGUUUCAUCAAGCCAUUAUUUCUCUAGAAUUUUUUCAAGUUUCUGUCCAGAGGAGAUGUUUGUGAAGCAAGUACCAGUUUGGCUUGGCCAAUUGGUAUGAGACUUUUUGAGCAUCUUCAUAGGACCAAAUGACUCUGCCUUGCCAAAUUUGAGCUCAAGUUGAUGCUUCAUCAGAGUGCAUCAUCCAAAUCUUGAUUCUGGACCAUAUUUGGCAGUUGCAAAGCAACUUUGUUAAAUCUUGAUCCAAACCCCUCCAUAGUUACCAGGAUGUAAGUCCUUCUUUACCUCAACCUCCCAGACGACUCCAUUUGACCCAAUCACCUCCCUGUUGAGCAGCAAUACACGAUCAAGUUUACUGUAGUAAACUUCAGGUGUUAACUGCAAUUUAACCAUGUCACUUUUAACCAAACUACCACCGCAGUUGCAACCUCCCCAGGAAGGACAAGCCCCCAGACAUUGUUUGGCCGGCCGUGUGCCACCGUGUGCACCAGUGCACGCGGUGAUCAUGAGCUUUGGCAUGCAAUGCGCGCGCUCUGCUGGCGUUGGCCGCGUCCAGGGCGUCUUCUUGCUCGGGCCCCUCUCCCUCUCGUCGCCUUUGCACUCGUGAGCCUGUCCAGCAGCUGGCCUGCGUCGUCGCCGUCCUCAUGGAGCCCUCUUCCCCUCCAUCAGCCCCUCCGUCAGCUCUCGUCCCCACGCGCCCACGGGAAGCAUGUAGCCGACCGGGCAUUUAUGGCGUUCGGCCUCUUCUCCUCUUGUCCACGAGCUCGGCCUCGUCUCCGUGAGCCCUGCCCUUCGUCCAUUCCCUCUCCGUCGCCUUCCCCAAGCUCAUGCGCAUGCACACGCGUCCGCGGCGCCGGCCGCGUGUCCGCGGCGACGACAGCGCGGCACCUCGCCCCGCGGCUAUAUAAGCCCACCUCGAGGCCGUUCGACCUCACCACCAGCCCACCUCACUCCCAGCAACCUCCCCAUCCAUUCGCCCGAGCCUCUGGAGAUCUAUUGCUCCACCAUUACCGCCAUGGCCGCGGGCCUCCUCAUCCUAAAUUCGCGGCCACCAGAGCCCUACUCUUCCCCUAGCCACCACCCUCGGUUUCCCCGGAGUCCGGCAAACCUCCCUACCCUCUCUCCACCUCGCCGGAGCACCCCUAGGGCCGUGCCCCGAGAACGGCCGCCGCUCUCUGCCGCCUCCCUGUCGCCGUGAGCCCCGUCGCCCCUGGUCCUCCAAGGCGCCCUUUUCUCGUCUGGGUGGGCGCGGCACUCCACCCCGAACCGGCCGGUGCUCCCGCCUGAGCCUGGGACGGCCGGAGCUGCCCGCCCCGUCGCCGGUCUCCUCCCUGCCUCCCUCCUCUGUUUCCAUCGGGGCGCAGUGAGGAGGAGGAAGAAGACAGGAGCCUGGCGGGCCCCAUCUCCCAGCGGCCCCACCUGUCGGCGGGUAGGCGUUGACCCCGCCUGCCUAGAUGGAUAAGUGAUGGGCCCCACCGCCCGUGGGACCCGCACGUCAGCGUCACACGCCUCGGUCCCGCCUUGGCUUACUGGAUUAAGUGGAGGCGUACUCGGUUGAGUACGUUUUCACCUUCGGGAAAGCGCAUUUUCCCUCUGCUUCAGCUCAAAGUACGCUUUCUUUUACUGAAAGCGUAUUUCCUCUCUGUUUCAGCCCAGAAUGCAUUUUCUUAAUCAGAAAGCGUAUUUCUAACUUUGCGCCUGUGUCUUAUCCACUCAGGGACUUGUUUGUGAUGAUAUUUUUGCAGAAAAGUCCCUGAACUUCAACCCCUCAUAUCUUUUUAACCACAAUUCCAAAUGAGGUGAAUCCAAAGCCCACUUCUUCGUUUCAUCGAGCCCGUUCUGUUGGUUUCAUUUUAACUAUGGUUUGACACUGUGAAAAUGACCUUUUUGCCCUUGCACGUAAACAGCCCCUCCGACAGAGAACUGUUUCCGGCAAGUCUUUCCGCGGCUUCACCGCACUUCUCCCCGGUGCCUUCUUCAUCCCCAGGCAAGCCACAAUACCCAAUUGCAUGAUAGUCAUGCAGUAGCCAUGGUUUUCAACUUGAAUAUUGAAUAAAUGUUUGCUUGUUUAAAAGAUGGUUAUCGUUGUUUCGGUAAUGCUUUUGGGUUAGUGCUUACUUUCUUGCUAUGUUGCCAUGCACCUAGUUGUCAUGCCCUACUAGUUGCUAGUGUUCCUUCAUAUGCUUAUGCUUGCUAGUAGUACAUGUUGAUGUUGGUGAUGGUCUUCGGUGCAUGACAGCUAUCUGUCCCGAGUACUGUUCUUAUACAUGUUCUAUUGCAUCCAGUUGGUUAAAUGCUUGCAUGAUAGCACUGUUGAUAUGUUCUUGCAUGCUAUUUAUUGUUGAUGCUAGUGGUCAUGUUAUGUUAUGAGUAGUGUUGCACUUGUAAUAUUUAUGCUCGUCAUUAUGCCAUGUUCAGUUGGAUAUGAUUCAUUGUUGAUAUGGUGUAUAGUUAUGUUGUACCCUCAUGAUUAUGUUGAUAUCAUGCUCAUGCAUUGUAAAUGCAUCAUGUUACUUUAUCAUGGCUCAGCAUAUUGCAUUCAAGUUAACCGGAUUUAAUUGAACUUGAACAACUGUUGGCUGAGUCAUGGUGCCACCAGAUCGAAACUGACCAGUGCAACCAUGCUUACCUUAUGGGAAGGUCCUAACUGGGUCUAUUGUCGUGCAUCUCGCCGGUGCCUCCCACGAGUGAAGGUUAUGGGCGUGCUUACCCUGAUCAGGUAGGCAGACAUAACCUUGUGUGUUCGUUGUUUUUAGUUUUAUGGAUCCAGUCCCCGAGUGGGAGUGUUUUGACCACGACGGUGGUCGGGGUGUCUUUGGUAGACACGGGGCCACCCAGGACUAGCCCGUUGGGGAUUUGGUCAGAGUGGCCGGGAGAAUGUCACGGCAGUAGAUCGGUUUUGUCGGAACGCCGUUGGUCCACCCGAAUGGGAGUGCGAGGCCAUGGGUUCCGUAGUGUGGGUACAGUGUACUAACCUCUGCAGAGUGCAUAUUAAAUCUAUCGAUAGCCGCGCCCGCGGAUAAGGGCCCAGUUCAUGUCGGUCCCACCGUGAGUCAACAGUAUUAAUAAUAACUUGAUUAAUAACAACCCCGGUUUGAUGAUGAGAUAAGUUGGUUGUGAUCGCCGUAAGGAUCAUGGGCCAAAUAUUGGUCGUGGUUGUGAUCGCCGAAAGGAUCACGGUGGUAUCAAGGAUACCGAGUUAUUGUAUAUUCGCGAUGUUGUGCGAGAAUCAUGGGUAAAGAUCAAGCUCCUUGUGGUCAUUUAAUGAUUACUACGGUAUUGUUUUUUUUUACUGUACACAGUAGGGCAAAACCCCACUGCAAUUUUUUUUAUAUAAAUCUAAAAAAAGGUAAAGUCACAGAAAGGAACCAGAGUACAAAAGGCUUGAGAUAAGCCAAGAAGGAAGAACAAAAGAAAUAGGAAAGAAAGAAAAAACAACUAAACAACUAAGGAAAAAACAAGGAUUACAGCACAAGAUUAUCCAGCCAAAAACAGUAUGCUCCAGCAUAGCUCUUUUUAAUUCUGUAUCUGAGAAGAGAGAGCUCCUCUCUGAAGAUGGCUUUCCACCUUUGAAUGCUGGGUUGAAUUGCUUGGAAGAUCAUGUUGUUCCUGGAGAUCCAAAUAGCCCAAGAGGCAAGGAUGACUAUCUCCAUGAAGAAAGGAACAUGAAGUUUCUGCUUGAGGUCAAGAAAAGCUUCCAUGAUUGAAACAUUUGCCUGUCUUGAAGGGCAGAUCAGAUCCCAACACUGUGCAGCAAAAGGGCAAGUCCAGAAAAGGUGCUGGAGAGUCUCUUCCAGUGGGCAAUUGUUGACAGCACAGUUAUAGUUGCCCAGCUGAAAUGAUUUCCUUCUCAGAAGAUUUCUAGUAUUGAGCCUGUCAUGAAGUAGUCUCCAAAAGAACACCUUAUGUUUUGGCUGACAAGAACUGCUCCAGAUCCAAUUGAACUGCUGUGGCACAACUUUAACUCCCAUCAGCACUUUGUAUGCCUUAGCCACAGAGAAUUGCUCAGUUCCCCAGAUGUAGCUCCAUGUAUCUAUGCAAUCCAAAGUAUCAGAGGCCCUUAAAGUAAUGCAGAUGUGAAAGCUUGCACAGUCAGAGGCAGAUGAAAUAGGUCCUCUAAGUAUUCAGUUUGGAGAAAGGUGUGAACAAUAGCAUCCUUGUUUUUCACAAAUGAGAAUAGGUGCGGGAACAUGUCUUGCAAGCAGUGUGAGUGCCAAAGAUCAGUCCAAAAAUAAGCACUCUUUCCAUCACCUAUGUUGCAUCUGGCCAAGGAUUUAUAGUUAUCAAUCAGCUUAAGGUUUGCCUUCCACCAAAAAGAUCCCAGCCAGCUAUUACCAGGUAGAGAAUCAUUGCUGUAGUAAGAUUCCCAAAUCAGAUUGACCCAGGGAAUAUUGUGUCUGUUGUAGAACUUAUGCAGGUUCUUGAGAAGCAAUGCUUUAUUCUGGACAAAAAUAUCAAUCACUCCUAACCCACCUUGAUUUUUAGGUCUACACACAGUACUCCAUGCCACCAUGGCAGGUCUAUGGUCCUCCAAAUCAGGGCCUCUCCAAAGACAAUGUCUCAAGUACUUUAUGGCUUGGGUUUUGACGGUAACAGGCACAUCAAGGCAUCCCAUGAGAUAUAUCAAUAAAGAGUUGAGGACAGAUUUCACAAGCAAUAAUCUCCCAGCCUAAGUCAUGAAGGUGGACAAACCCACAAUCUUCUUCUGCAGUCUUGUGACAAGGGGAAAACAUUGUUCAACAGUAGGCUUAUGGAGGCCUAGGGGUACUCCCAAAUACUUGAUUGGAAAAGAUUCCUUCUUGCAAUGAAAAGUAUUUAUUAAAAUCUCCAUCUUCUCUUCUGUCACAUUUAUUGGAAUCAUACUUGAUUUAUUGUAGUUCACUUUCAGUCCUGUGGCAUCAGCAAAAGUAUUGAGAAGGGCUUUGAGGCAAUGUAAUUGCUUUGCAUCUACUUGCAUAAUAACCAAGGUGUCAUCAGCAUACUGGACAAUUGGAAAAUCAGGGCAUGACUCUACUUGCAAGGGAGAAGUUACCAAACCCAGGUGCAUUGCCUUACUGAGAAUUGUCUGAAUUAGAUCAGCAGCCAGCACAAAGAGAAGAGGGGACAGAGGAUCCCCCUGCCUUACACCUCUAAGGCAAUAAUUUUUUUUCCAGGAACACCAUUUAGUAGUAUAGCAGAAGAUGCAGAAGUAAACAAUAAUUUGAUCCAAGUAAGCCAUCUGUCCCCAAAGCCCUUUGCUUUUAAAAUAUCCAGCAUAGCCUGAUGUUCAAUGGUGUCAAAAGCCUUUUCAAAAUCCAAUUUCAGAACAAUGAUUUCCUCUUUUGACUUAUGACAUUGGUGCAAAUACUCAUAAGCCCACCCCAAACAGUCAUGAAUAGAUCUUUCUUUAAGGAAUCCAUAUUGGUUGAUGUGUACCAAUUGCAGAAUCACCUUUUGCAGUCUAUUUGCCAGCAACUUAGUAACAAUUUUCAGACAGCUGUUCAGUAAAGAGAUAGGCCUAAAAUCAUUUGCAGUCAAUGGAGAGUUACCCUUUGGAAUGAGAGUUAUAAAAGAAGUGUUCAAACUCUCAAGGGAGAUGUGUCCUGCAUGAAAAUCAUAAAUGAAUUUGAGCACAUCUUCUUUAAUAAUAUCCCAAGAAGACUUGAGGAAUUCAUUGUUAAAGCCAUCAGGGCCAGGAGACUUGUCAUUUGGGAGAGCAUGGACAACAGCUUCAAUUUCUUCAGCAGUAAAAGGCAAUUCCAGAUUAGCAAAAAUAUCUGAAUGCUGUCUCUGCCCAUACAAAGAAACCAGAUCAAAGUGCAUUGUGGUUUCUUGGGAUGUGCCCAUUCUUUUCUUGAAAGCAUCCAAGAGAAUAGCAGCUUUACCACCAUGAUCUGAGAUCUCCAUUUGGUCCUCAUUGUGAAGAAUAGCAAUAUGGUUAUGCCUGUAAUUGAUGGAAGCUUUUGUGUGAAAUUUUUUUGUGUUUUCAUCUCCAAACUUCACCCCCUUGAUUUUCCCUCUCUGCUUCCAAUAAAUCUGUUGGUUCCUCAGUAAAAUAAGCAGUUGUUCUUUAAGAAUAGCUCUGCAGCUCCAUUCAUGAGUAUCCAGUUCUCUAAAUUCCUUAAAGAAAUCCCACAUGAAGAGUAGUUCAUUUAACUUUGCAAUUGUAGAUUUCAGACAGGACAGAGAUUUAGCCCACAGCUUCAAAGCUCUUCUUAAAAUCUUGAACUUAGCAUUCAAAGACUUAACAGAAUCAAGGUUUCCAUUUGGGAUGCUCCAAGCAGAGGCAACAACUUGUUUGAAAUCAGAAUGAUGCAGCCAAUAGUUCUCAAACCUGAAUACUCUUGCCUUUGGAAUAGAAGUGCCAAUUUUAAUUACACGGGGCAAGUGAUCAAAUAUAGGUUUUGCAAGUGGUAGUACAAUUGUAUUAGGGAAAGAAGUCAUCCAGGAGGCAGAAGUGAAAAACCAGUCAAGUUUGACCAACAAAGGAUCAUGCUGCAUGUUACUCCAACUGAACUUUCUACCAUGCAAAGGUAAUUCAACCAAACCUUGGUUACUAAUGGCCUCAUUGAACAUAAGCAUAUCAUUAACAUCUCCCCCAGGUCUGUUCCUAUCUGAUGGAGCCCUCAUAAGGUUGAAAUCACCCAUUAAUAUCCAGUCAACAUCAUCAGGCAUGUGAAUAUUUAGAAACCAGUGAAUAAACUCCAUUUUGUCUUGAGGAUCACAUGGGCCAUAGAUAUUUGAAAGAAUCCAAGACUAAUUGGAAAGCAAACUGGUGAACUGCAUGGAAAGUGAGAACCUGUUUUGUGCAAUGAUCUCCCCAGAGAAUUGUGAGCCAUUCCAGGCCACAAGAAGCCCCCCAGAAGCUCCAACAGAGGGGAGGAAGGCAAAGUUAUUAAUUUUAGAGGGGAAGAAUUUUUUUAAGUAGGCAGUGUCAAAGGUCUCUCUUUUGGUUUCUUGAAGGCACACAAUAUUACAAUCACUCUCAUCAAUCUUCUGUCUUAAAGCCAAGCAUUUGUCCUCAGAGUUCAUACCUCUAAUGUUCCAAUUUAAGAUAUUCUAGUUUCUGUUGUUGUUAUUCAUGGAAACAAAAAAAGAUUUUGUACCAGAGAGCAAGCACCACCACUUGAUCAUCAUCCAAGAAGGAAAGAAGCUGGCAUAAUGCCCUGAUCCAGAACAUAACAUAAUUCCAGCAGUGCAACCAAAGAUGACACAUGAAAAGACUAGCAGGAAAGUACAGCCACAGGCAUACAAGGUUCAGAAAGCACCAAGACCCAAGUCUUACAGUUGGCAAAAGCAGCAACAAACUAAGAGGUGUGGGACUACAGACACAAUCCCACCACACAACACUCCAAGAGGGGUCUCUAAACAUUAAGAAGAGGUGGUAGCAUGUCCUUCUGCUUUGGCCAAGGGCACCUUGUCCAAAACCUCCUCAUCCAUUCUCUUGGGCUUCUUGGCCAGCAUGUCCUCCAGCUCCCCCUCAGAAACCUUACAGAAAGAGGCAGUGAGAUUUUUAACAACUGAUUUCUUAAUGAUGGGAGGGGCAGCAUUGCAAGGUAAGCAAUUAUUAUUAGGGCAAGAAUUUCUCUUGUAACCAGCAUUGUCUUUCUGAAUUCUGUCACUUCUUCUUACCUCUGUUUCCACAAGUGGAGUUUUUCCACUUCUCCUCUUCCUUAAGUUUUCCUGGCCAAAAGGUUGCAGCAAGGCCUGUGACUCUACAUCAUGCAGAUUUGCAGCUACCCCAAUAUUCUCUUUACCCUUGUCUUGUACACCUUCCUCCAUGACCUGACAGAUUGGUGCAUGAGAGGUAGGACAUUUGUCAGGUAUAUGGAACAGAAAAGCUUGGUCCAUAUUUUCCACAGCAGUGAACAGAUCCCACAUUCCAGAUUUUAACAUAUUGACAGUCCAGGAAAACUUAUCAGGGGACAGGGAGCAAGUGGACAAUAAAAUUAAACCAACUUACUGGAAUGUUGGUAGAGAAAGAGCUCCUGUUGUCCAAUGCUUGCUCUUUAAAGUGCUGCUUCCACAGUAACAGGCCUUCUUCAGAAACAGAUAGUUCAGUGUUAGCAGUGGCAGCCAUCUGAAUACUUUUCAGACCAAGGAGGGAAGGUGCCAUGUUAAAGUGAUCAUUGAUUUGAUUAACCCAGUUACCUUGGAGACCUGACUGGAGGUCCUUUAAAUUCUCCACAGGCUGUAGACUUCCUCUAGCAGUAAUAACAUGUUCAGCAUUGUCUUUCAAGACUUGAGCUGAAGAUCCAGCAGUUGUCAUAGGAAGAUCAGAGAACAUGACAGGCUCCAAGGCAGCUUCCAGAAGUGCAGGUUGGUCAGAAGCGACCUCCAAAGGAGGAGAAACAUCAGGAGCAGCCUGUGCUGCAAGAGGGGCAACAUGUUGCAGUGGAUUUGCAGGAGGCUGAUCAUGCAAAGCAGCCAUUUCCUGGUUUUGCUCCUGCAAUACAGGAGGCUCCACAUCAUCUGACUGGUAAGCUUGAAUUAUGUUCUGCAGUCCAGUAGCCAUCACAACAGCAUCAGGUUGGGCAAUUGCAGGCAUAUCAGCCCUAGCAUGAAUGGCUUCCACAGUAGCUGAAGGUAAAAACAUAUGAGAAUUGUCUCCUUCAGAAAAAGACAUGCCUGAAGAGAAACUGCUAUUACUGGGAGCUGGAAGCAGCUUCUCACCAUCUGCCCAGGCCAUUUCCUCCUGCUGUACAGCAUCCAGCAGAUCUUCCAACUCAGCAUUAGGAACAUGCUGAUGGUUAUCGUCCCAAUUAUCCCAGUUUGCAGCAACCUGAACAUCCAUCUCAUUAUUUAUGGCGGCAACAACAUGCAAACCCUCAGCAGGCACAGCAUUCUCGGGUAAAGGGUGCGGGUCCUCAUUAGCAGGAGGCAAAGGAUCCUCAUCUGCAGGUCCUCCACCAAGGAGCUCACUGGCUAGCACUUCGAUGGAGGAAGACCAGCCGUCUCCCUCAAAUUCAUCCCCUUCAGACCAACGCAAACUUUUUGGGAUGGUAUCCAAGUUCAGAACUCUUGCCUUGACCACAAUGUGACCCAUGUGGUCGUCCUCCUUGACCCAGGAAAUCAUGCGGCCAAACUUACUAACAUCACAAGCAAGAUCUUCAGUGGUGCGGAAAUCAAAAGGGACUCCCGUCAGAAGCAACCACACCACUCUGUUAAGAUGAACCCUCCUGUGAUUCCUUCCCGCAUCAUGCCUCGCAAAGCUAAUGAACACAUCUCCAAACUCGUGGGGGCUAUCAAGGACCAACUUGUCCCUAUCCCUAACCCGCGCGAGACGAACAUAUGCUUCACCGAACGGACACCGCUGGAUAUCUCGCAGUCCCAGCUGUCUAUGCUCCACAAUAAAAUCCUCAAGAACAUCUCUUACAUUGGAGAACGGAGCAUCUGCAGGGAGAGGGUGGAUGGUCACAAUCGCCCAGUCCUCAUGACGACGAGGGCGCUGCGGAAGCACCACCCGAGCCACACCAUUGCGCCCAGGAACCUGUUGAAUGUUGAAGCCUUGUGGCACAAAGGGGCGUGGGUCGAUCGGGAUGUUGGCCAUCGGCGUCGCCGAAGAACGCGAGAUCACCGGCGAAGGGAGGCGCAAAGCACUAGAAGCAGAGCUUGUGCACAGAGGUGAGAUAGAGGAACAGAGCGGAGAAGUUGAGGAGGCAAGGGGGCGACGAGGCUGGAAAUUAGGAAAAGAUCCCAAACAAAGCUCACUAAAAGAGGAAACGAGCGGAGGCUCGCGGGCUGGGCCAACUAAUUGGAACCAGUCAUGGACCGCAUCUAGGUCCCAGGCCACAGACGAUGGGCUGGGGAAAGUGUCAAACCGGAGGUAAGGAAAAAGCCCAGGUAGGCGAAAGGCAUUGCACUCCUUAGCAAAAUGGCCCAACUUGCCACAUGCGUAGCACUGAAAAGAGGAAUUUGAGCGAGCCAGAUUCCCGCCCGACGAACCCGCAGCGAGAUCCUCGCCCGAAGAGUGAGUAAUGGGAAAUGAGUGCACAUUAUUGCCCGAGGCCACAUUACUGGUGACGGUCGGAAACUUCGCUAACCGAGCAAAAACCGACUGCCGUGGUUGAUCGCCGGAAAAACUACCGGCGGCCGAGCGUGGGCGUGAUCCAGACCUGACCAAAGUCCAAGAAUCUUCUUCCUCGCGAUAAAAAAGUUGUUCUUCACGUAAACAGUUCGGACCUCCAAAACCCCAAAGAUUGAACACUAACUCAAAAUCUUUCUCAACCACCCGCCCUUGAUUAUAAAUUUCAAAACCCACUGCUUUGGAGGCAACCGAAAACUUGAAGGAUCUGUCCUUGAGAUGUAGCACACGAAACCCCUGUGGAUAACCACCAAAGCAAGAUUGCAACGUGAUACUGACUGUGUGACAAUCCAACCGAAAUCGAGCACGGCAAAAGGAAACCACCAAAGUGAAUUCACGUUGACGAAAGCCAGGUGAAAACACCACCGGAUGACCAAACUUUUGUCUCAUAGAGAGCUGAAAAUCUUUACCUCGAGCAACGUUGAGAGAGGGAGGAUCCAUGGCCACGGAGGGCCAAAAAACUACCCACAAAGGGCCCAGAGACAGCCAGGUGGACGGAUGGAUGGUGGCCGCCGGCGCCGGAGUGGCAGCCGGCGGGAGGAGGGGUGGCCGCCGGGGCCGGAGUGGCCACCGGCGGGGAGCGCCUAGGGAGCGCCUAGAGAGAGCCUAGGUAGGGCCUAUCUAUUCACUUUAUACCAAGCUUGAUUUGAUCCUGAGAUAAUCGUGUGAUGUCCGAGGUUGGUAAGUGAGGCAUGUGAUGGUUAUGUAGUGACCCGAGCAAAAUAAAUAAUGCAUAUAGUGUCAUCAUGUUGUAUGCUAGUAUCGUCAGACUCAUAUGCUCAUGCUAUGCUCAUGUUGUUCUAGUUGUAUCGUGUUCAUGUUGCCUUUGGAUUUUUAGUGGCUAUUAUGAUUAUUUUCAUGAUGGUACCUAGUAUUAUUUUGGGAGUAUUACUUUGGGUGUCAUGUUGUUCAGGUCAUGUUGUUAUGAGGAUCUCAUGUUAAUUCCUGCUUAACCUGUAAUUACCGUACCGGCUGUUAAAAUUAGGUCUACUUGCCUAGGACUUGAUCUUGGUACCAAUCCAUAACGAUCAAAGUCGAAUCGUGAGCCAAGAAACUGCUCGAGUUUUAGCAAAAGCUGCCCUACGAGGUCGCAUUGAUUGGUUGAAAGGCUUGAAAGAAAACGUAGUUCUGGGGGGGAUUGAUUUACGUAAUUGGAAGUAACCAAUUAGGUUUACGACGAAACCUAGAAAUCGAUCACUGAUCCAAUUUGACUACCUCUACGGGAUAGACCUCAACAGAAAACUGUUGAGUAACGGCAGCAAGUGAUUGAGUUCCCAUGCUGUUGUUUGUCUUGAAUGCUUCUCGUUAACUGUGAGCUUGCAAGUACAUUCAAUGUACUCACCUGGCGUGUCAUGCCAGCUUGCAGGUCGUGCCUGGAUUGCAUGCUUGUUUGCCACGGAUUCUUUGUUUGCGAGCUAGGAUAAGCGUUCCAGCCAGAGUCCCUGCGGAUUGGAGUUCACCACCGUGUCGUUGUUCCGCUGCUAGAGUUAUUCCGCUGCUUCGAGUUGUUCUGCUGCUUGCAUAGAGCAACUGAGGAUGGCGUAGUGUCGCCGUGCCGAUGUAUUCAUUGUAAUAUCGGAGACCUUGUAUUCAUAUUCGUGAUAUAAUAGAAAGCUGGUUUGUUCUAUGCUAAGCAGUGCCGUAUUCCAGAAGACUUCUCCUCGAUCUUUGGGCUGGAAUACGGGGCGUUCCGGUUUUCUCUGAGCCGGGGUGCCACAACGCUUGGUAUCAGAGCAGGUCUGGUUGUAGGAUGCCUUAGCCUGCGCGAACGUUAGAAAGCGGUAGUAUAGACCCCAGUUGGUUUGUUGCACUUGAUUGUUGCAUUUGUUUGUCGCAUAGCAUGCGUAUAGAUUAUUAUUUUGUCACUAAUGGUUAAUCUUGUGAGUGUAGGUGGCAUCAGUUUCGAUCCACUACCUGCACCAUCUUUCAUAGCAUGCCUGCUCUUCGGUGUGAUGCAACCACAUCAUCAUCCAGGCUCUCCAUCUCGUCCCGUUGGCAACCCUUGCUAAUCUUUGUUAUCAGAAAAGGGCAAUGCUAUUAAACCCAGUCUUCCACUGUUAUCUUGCCCUGCAUAUCAUUCUUUGGGCAGGUAUGAUUCCCUUCGUACGCUUGAUGAUGAGGAAGUCGUGACUUUUGUGUCUCGCUACUUGAUCGUCAAGUCCGUUCUCACCUGUGUAUCCAUCCAGAUCCGGCCACUGUUCAGCCAGUGCUUGGUGUAGCUUCGGUUAUGCCAACUCCUUCCACACAUGGAUAUAAUUUUCAUGCACACCUCCACAGCAUAUUAGACCGUAAUACCGGAGUUUCCGCGCGAUUUGUGUGCUUAGGUGUGCAUGCAUAUUAUGGUGUGAGUAGCAGUAAUAUGUGAUGAUUGCUUGAUUAAUUAUAUUAGUAGUAUGUUUGUGUGCUUUUGUUUUAGUCGUUUCUUUUGUUUCUUUCUUUGGGCCUUCGGUGUUACAAAUUUUUCCCCUAUUAAAGUUGCUCGUCAGCCGACACCAGACCUGAAGAGUCAGCAAGAAAUGCAUAUAUUUGGAAACUCAGCUAAACAGAAUGGAAUUGUCAGCAGACUGCAGUGAAAUUGGAAAUAGCUCGUCUGAAUACAAAAGAAAAUCCUGGGUGAAAUGUCAGUAUAAUGUUUGCAUUAAUGUGCACUCCUCACAACAGCAUGGAAUUCUCAGCCGACUGCAUUCAGAUUAGGGGAUAUCUGAUCAUGUUACUGAAAGUCAAGUCUCUCUCAGCGUGCACUCCUCAUAGCAGAAAUGAUCAAAUCAGCAAGAAGAUAAAUUGUGUGCAAGGUUGACAAAAUAUUAUCAAAGGUAUGGCUCAGAUACAAGUUUAAUUUUUCGUUGAGGAUGAUUUUGGAACCCGAUGUACCUGGAAGCAAGCAAAAAUAUGGCAUGUACUCAGAAAGGAGGAUAGUCCUGCAAAACCCCGUUUCAUACAAGAAAUCAAUAAAAAAAUAUUAAGAUGGUUAUAUAUGUGGAAAUCGGUCCGCAUAUCACAAUAAGAAGCUUCUGGUGUAAAAAACCCAAUCUUCCCUCGCAAGAUACCCGAAAAGCUUCCAAGGCAAGAUUCAUCUAUCUUCUUCAGUAUGAUACAUGGGUGAUUUCCCGUACAAGGUACUCUACCUUCUUCAGUAAGCAACCACAAAAGAUUCCAGCAUAGGGUACUGAGUUUUCCCCGAGCAACGUCUUUAAGGGGGUAAGCUUCUGAAGCACGAUACCCAGUCUUCUUCAGCAAGUUGUCCGAUGAAAGUUUCAAGCACAAGCCAGACAAUCUUCCUUAGUAAGACAUUGGUACAAGGUAGUACGGUGUGAAUUGACAGCAUAUGGCAGCGAAUCCCAAGAAUCAGAUCCGCAACAUUUUGGACAGAAGCAAGAAUCAGUCAGAACUUGAGGGAAGUUGAAACUGCCAUGUAAUGGGGUACCCUAUCAGAAAAAUGAGGAUAAGCUGCGAUUGCCAAAAAAAUUGCACCAACAAUACCUAUGGUGAUACAGAAAAAAGGCAAUAUGACCCAACUCUUUCAGUCAAGGAUCCAGACCAAGAAAACGAUAAUGAAGGAGCAAGACCAGUGAUGUGGGUAUGAAAAUUGUGGCAAGACCCGCGUGGUGCAGAACCACCGUCAGUCAAGUCUGCAGAUAUUAUCCUACAGGUCAAACUCUUAUGUUAGCCACGACAGGCGACAAUCAAAUAUUUGGUACGGAUCCGAUACUCAAGACAGUGGAACCAGUUAAGAUGAUUCAGAAACUUCCACGAUAAGCUAGAAGCUGUCGGGAAAGCGGUUAUGACCCAACUCACUGUUUGGAACCCGAAGGACCUGCAUUUAGUGGAGAAACCCAAUGCAAGGAGUUAGAGCUUGGGUGUCCACUAGAAAAAAAAAUCUGAUCACCACUUCAUGAAAGAUUGUCAGUGCUGGAUGACACACCCAGUGGAAAUCACUCUUGGAUUUGGGAGACCGACAUAUAUUUCAGUCAUGAGAAUCAAUCAUAGUCAGCUAAGUCAGCAGAUCUGAAAAGAAAUUGGAGCCUGUAUAAGCAUGAACAAGCAAGGUAAGAUCUGUCAGAAUAUGGAUAUAUUAAAGCAAACCACCCUAGGGCCAGUCAGAUAAAAAUUUAGUGGGAACAAAAAUAACAAAAAGGAUACCCGAGUUGGAAACGGUUUCCUUAAGUCAGUAUCUUCAUACUUGUUCCCUGAGCAACCAAAUCUCGAGGACGAGAUUUCUUUAAGGGGGUAAGGUUUGUGACAGCCUUAUUUUUGGCCCUUUCUUGUUCUUUUGUUUUUCUGAGGUUUUUGCUUGAGUUUUCUUUUUCCGUGGCCUUGUGGUUCGGAAACUGAAGAAGAUGAACUCUUCUUUUCUUCCAAAGUGGCUUGUCAUUCCCAAAUCCUUCCCUAGACCCUGUCAUUUUCAUCCUAGCCCAAAUCCCAACAUUCUUUUUAUUGGGGAUAUUCCUUUUGUACUAAAGGAAUAACUCAAAUUGCCCUAGGUUGUGAAGCAAACUUUAUUUCCAUCACUCCUAAAAUUCCCAAAUAAUUCUCAUAAAUUGUUUGGGUCAUAUCUUUCUCAAAUAUAGCAAAAUAUUUCAUUUGUCAUGUUUAUCAUCAUGCUCAAAUAAUUCAUUUCCUAUUCUGCCCUAAAUGGCACAUUGUGAAGCAAGUGCUAUUUUACUUUUCCCAAUUAACCUCAAACUCCU